rnacentral:rRNA from 1 species
CAGUCGCCGCGGGAAUACGUAGGUGGCAAGCGUUGUCCGGAAUUAUUGGGCGUAAAGCGCGCGCAGGUGGUUUAAUAAGUCUGAUGUGAAAGCCCCCGGCUCAACCGGGGAGGGUCAUUGGAAACUGGGAAACUUGAGUGCAGAAGAGGAGAGUGGAAUUCCAUGUGUAGCGGUGAAAUGCGUAGAUAUAUGGAGGAACACCGGUGGCGAAAGCGGCUCUCUGGUCUGUAACUGACGCUGAGGCUCGAAAGCGUGGGGAGCGAACAGGAUUAGAUACCCGGGUAGUCCCUGUCUCUUAUAC